rnacentral:rRNA from 1 species
UACGGAGGGUGCAAGCGUUAUCCGGAUUCACUGGGUUUAAAGGGUGCGUAGGCGGGUAUGUAAGUCAGUGGUGAAAUCUCCGUGCUUAACACGGAAACUGCCAUUGAUACUAUAUAUCUUGAAUAUUCAGGAGGUGAGCGGAAUAUGUCAUGUAGCGGUGAAAUGCUUAGAUAUGACAUAGAACACCGAUUGCGAAGGCAGCUCACUACAGGAUUAUUGACGCUGAGGCACGAAAGCGUGGGGAUCAAACAGG